rnacentral:rRNA from 1 species
GACGUAGGGGGCGAGCGUUGUCCGGAUUUAUUGGGCGUAAAGAGCGUGUAGGCGGCCAGUUAGGUCCGUUGUGAAAACUCGAGGCUCAACCUCGAGACGUCGAUGGAAACCAUCUGGCUAGAGUCCGGAAGAGGAGAGUGGAAUUCCUGGUGUAGCGGUGAAAUGCGCAGAUAUCAGGAAGAACACCGAUGGCGAAGGCAGCUCUCUGGGACGGUACUGACGCUGAGACGCGAAAGCGUGGGGAGCGAACAGG